rnacentral:rRNA from 1 species
GAUGAACGCUGGCGGCGUGCCUAAUACAUGCAAGUCGAGCGAGCGGACGAGAAGCUUGCUUUUCUGAUGUUAGCGGCGGACGGGUGAGUAACACGUGGAUAACCUACCUAUAAGACUGGGAUAACUUCGGGAAACCGGAGCUAAUACCGGAUAAUAUUUUGAACCGCAUGGUUCAAAAGUGAAAGACGGUCUUGCUGUCACUUAUAGAUGGAUCCGCGCUGCAUUAGCUAGUUGGUAAGGUAACGGCUUACCAAGGCAACGAUGCAUAGCCGACCUGAGAGGGUGAUCGGCCGCACUGGAACUGAGACACGGUCCAGACUCCUACGGGAGGCAGCAGUAGGGAAUCUUCCGCAAUGGGCGAAAGCCUGACGGAGCAACGCCGCGUGAGUGAUGAAGGUCUUCGGAUCGUAAAACUCUGUUAUUAGGGAAGAACAUAUGUGUAAGUAACUGUGCACAGCUUGACGGUACCUAAUCAGAAAGCCACGGCUAACUACGUG